rnacentral:rRNA from 1 species
UACAGAGGUCUCAAGCGUUGUUCGGAUUCAUUGGGCGUAAAGGGUGCGUAGGUGGCGCGGUAAGUCGGGUGUGAAAUCUCGGGGCUUAACUCCGAAACUGCAUUCGAUACUGCCGUGCUUGAGGACUGGAGAGGAGACUGGAAUUCAUGGUGUAGCAGUGAAAUGCGUAGAGAUCAUGAGGAAGACCAGUGGCGAAGGCGGGUCUCUGGACAGUUCCUGACACUGAGACACGAAGGCCAGGGGAGCAAACGGG